CAGUAGAUAAUUUAAAAAAAAAAUAUUAAUUUUGGAAAUUAAAAAUAAAAUUAUUUUUCUACUGA
rnacentral:tRNA from 1 species